rnacentral:rRNA from 1 species
UACGUAGGGUGCAAGCGUUGUCCGGAGUUACUGGGCGUAAAGGGUGCGCAGGCGGCCUGGCGCGUCGCGAGUGAAAUCUCCUGGCUCAACUGGGAGGGUGGUCGCGAGACGGCUGGGCUUGAGGCUCGGUGAGGGGCGUGGAAUUCCGGGUGGAGCGGUGAAAUGCGUAGAGAUCCGGAGGAACACCGACGGCGUAGGCAGCGCCCUAGACGAGACCUGACGCUCAGGCACGAAAGCGCGGGGAGCGAACAGG